AAUACAAUUUGAUUUGUCACAUCAAUUGAGAUAUAGAUUAUAAUAUAAAUGCUAACCGCACUGUUCAGAUGAAGCAGCUGAAUGAGGAGCUUGAGUCGGUGCGAGCUGAGAGCGAGCGUCUCCUGUCUGAGAAGACAGACAGCCCUCAGAAACAUGCAGAGGAGUUGGAGAAGCUGCUCUCCACUGUAACAUCACUGACUGAAGAGAGAGACCAGCUCCAGGAGAUUCUGUGUGGAGUCAAGAGAGGAGAGGAACCAGCUCAAGCGAGAACUGGAGGAGAAUGUUGAGAUGUCCAUCAAAGUCCAGGAGGAGCUGAAACAGCAGCAACAUCUCAACUCUGAGCAGCAGGCUGAGACAGAACAACAAACAACUCAACUUCAGCAACAAAUACAGUAGCUAGAGGAGGAACACGCAC